GUAUUUUAACUGUGCUAAGGUAGCAUAAUCAUUUGUCUUUUAAUUGAGGGCUGGAAUGAAGGGUUGGACGAGGUAUUGGCUUUCUUUAAUUUAGUUUGAAGAAUUUAAUUUUUGAGUUAAAAAGCUUAAAUUUAUUUAUGGGACGAGAAGACCCUAUAGAUCUUUAUAGUUUUAUGUUUUAAUAAUUUAGGGAUUUAUGUAUUUUAAGUAAAUGAACUAUUUUGUUGGGGUGACUGUAGAAUUUGAAUAACUUCUA
rnacentral:rRNA from 1 species